rnacentral:rRNA from 1 species
AUUGAACGCUGGCGGCAUGCUUUACACAUGCAAGUCGAACGGUAACAGGCCGCAAGGUGCUGACGAGUGGCGAACGGGUGAGUAAUGCAUCGGAACGUGCCCAGUCGUGGGGGAUAACGCAGCGAAAGCUGCGCUAAUACCGCAUACGAUCUGUGGAUGAAAGCGGGGGGACCGUAAGGCCUCGCGCGAUUGGAGCGGCCGAUGUCAGAUUAGGUAGUUGGUGAGGUAAAGGCUCACCAAGCCGACGAUCUGUAGCUGGUCUGAGAGGACGACCAGCCACACUGGGACUGAGACACGGCCCAGACUCCUACGGGAGGCAGCAGUGGGGAAUUUUGGACAAUGGGCGCAAGCCUGAUCCAGCCAUGCCGCGUGAGUGAAGAAGGCCU